UCCCUGGUGGUCCACUGGAUAGGACUCAGGGCUUUUACUGAGGUGGCCCAGGUUCAAUCCCUGGCUGGGGAG
rnacentral:tRNA from 1 species